UGAGCAACCUGCCCUAGGCUUUGGGAUAACCCCGGGAAACCGGGGCUAAUACCGAAUAGGCAUGUCCGGUGGUGGAAAGUUUUUCGGCCUGGGAUGGGCUCGCGGCCUAUCAGCUUGUUGGUGGGGUGAUGGCCUACCAAGGCGACGACGGGUAGCCGGCCUGAGAGGGCGACCGGCCACACUGGGACUGAGACACGGCCCAGACUCCUACGGGAGGCAGCAGUGGGGAUAUUGCACAAUGGGCGGAAGCCUGAUGCAGCGACGCCGCGUGAGGGAUGACGGCCUUCGGGUUGUAAACCUCUUUCAGCAGGGACGAAGCGCAAGUGACGGUACCUGCAGAAGAAGCGCCGGCCAACUACGUGCCAGCAGCCGCGGUAAGACGUAGGGCGCGAGCGUUGUCCGGAUUUAUUGGGCGUAAAGAGCUCGUAGGCGGCUUGUCGCGUCGACUGUGAAAACCCGCGGCUCAAC
rnacentral:rRNA from 1 species